GCCCCGGUAAACGGCGGCCGUAACUAUAACGGUCCUAAGGUAGCGAAAUUCCUUGUCGGGUAAGUUCCGACCUGCACGAAUGGCGUAAUGAUGGCCAGGCUGUCUCCACCCGAGACUCAGUGAAAUUGAACUCGCUGUGAAGAUGCAGUGUACCCGCGGCAAGACGGAAAGACCCCGUGAACCUUUACUAUAGCUUGACACUGAACAUUGAGCCUUGAUGUGUAGGAUAGGUGGGAGGCUUUGAAGUGUGGACGCCAGUCUGCAUGGAGCCGACCUUGAAAUACCACCCUUUAAUGUUUGAUGUUCUAACGUUGGCCCGUAAUCCGGGUUGCGGACAGUGUCUGGUGGGUAGUUUGACUGGGGCGGUCUCCUCCUAAAGAGUAACGGAGGAGCACGAAGGUUGGCUAAUCCUGGUCGGACAUCAGGAGGUUAGUGCAAUGGCAUAAGCCAGCUUGACUGCGAGCGUGACGGCGCGAGCAGGUGCGAAAGCAGGUCAUAGUGAUCCGGUGGUUCUGAAUGGAAGGGCCAUCGCUCAACGGAUAAAAGGUACUCCGGGGAUAACAGGCUGAUACCGCCCAAGAGUUCAUAUCGACGGCGGUGUUUGGCACCUCGAUGUCGGCUCAUCACAUCCUGGGGCUGAAGUAGGUCCCAAGGGUAUGGCUGUUCGCCAUUUAAAGUGGUACGCGAGCUGGGUUUAGAACGUCGUGAGACAGUUCGGUCCCUAUCUGCCGUGGGCGCUGGAGAACUGAGGGGGG
rnacentral:rRNA from 1 species